UACGUAGGGUGCGAGCGUUAAUCGGAAUUACUGGGCGUAAAGCGUGCGCAGGCGGUCUGUUAAGACCGAUGUGAAAUCCCCGGGCUUAACCUGGGAACUGCAUGGUGACUGGCAGGCUUUGAGUGUGGCAGAGGGAGGUAGAAUUCCACGUGUAGCAGUGAAAUGCGUAGAGAUGUGGAGGAAUACCGAUGGCGAAGGCAGCCUCCUGGGCCAACACUGACGCUCAUGCACGAAAGCGUGGGGAGCAAA
rnacentral:rRNA from 1 species